AGUGAACGCUGGCGGUAGGCCUAACACAUGCAAGUCGAACGGCGGCACAGUAAGAGCUUGCUCUUACGGGUGGCGAGUGGCGGACGGGUGAGGAAUACAUCGGAAUCUACUUUUUCGUGGGGGAUAACGUAGGGAAACGUACGCUAAUACCGCAUACGACCUACGGGUGAAAGCAGGGGAUCUUCGGACCUUGCGCGAUUGAAUGAGCCGAUGUCGGAUUAGCUAGUUGGCGGGGUAAAGGCCCACCAAGGCGACGAUCCGUAGCUGGUCUGAGAGGAUGAUCAGCCACACUGGAACUGAGACACGGUCCAGACUCCUACGGGAGGCAGCAGUGGGGAAUAUUGGACAAUGGGCGCAAGCCUGAUCCAGCCAUACCGCGUGGGUGAAGAAGGCCUUCGGGUUGUAAAGCCCUUUUGUUGGGAAAGAAAAGCAGCAGGUUAAUACCCCGCUGUUCUGACGGUACCCAAAGAAUAAGCACCGGCUAACUUCGUG
rnacentral:rRNA from 1 species